UUCCUCAAAUUUUCACCGAUUUUCACCCAAUUUUCGCCAUUUUUCCCCAUUUUUGUGCCCCCAGGCGUGCCCAGGUGUGCCCAGGUGUGCAAAAUCCCCAAAUUUCCUCCUAUUUUCGCCAAAUUUUCACCGAUUUUCCCCAAAUUUUCGCUGUUUUUCUGCCCCCAGGUGUGCCCAGGUGUGCCCAGGUGUGC